UCAAGCGAACAAGUGCAUGUGGUGGAUGCCUUGGCGAUCACAGGCGAUGAAGGACGCGGUAGCCUGCGAAAAGCUUCGGGGAGCUGGCAAACAAGCUUUGAUCCGGAGAUGUCCGAAUGGGGAAACCCGGCCCGAAUGGGUCAUCCCACACUGAAUUCAUAGGUGUGGGAAGCGAACGCGGCGAACUGAAACAUCUAAGUAGCUGCAGGAACAGAAAUCAACCGAGAUUCCCAAAGUAGUGGCGAACGAAAUGGGAAGAGCCUUGUACUCUUUAGCAGUGGUGUUAGCAGAACGGGAUGGAAAGCCCGGCCAUAGCAGGUGAUAGCCCUGUAUGCGAAAACACGAUUGUGGAACUAGGUGUACGACAAGUAGGGCGGGACACGUGAAAUCCUGUCUGAAGAUGGGGGGACCAUCCUCCAAGGCUAAAUACUCGUGAUCGACCGAUAGUGAACCAGUACCGUGAGGGAAAGGCGAAAAGAACCCCGGGAGGGGAGUGAAAUAGAUCCUGAAACCGCAUGCAUACAAACAGUCGGAGCCUCUUCGGGGGUGACGGCGUACCUUUUGUAUAAUGGGUCAGCGACUUACAUUCAGUGGCAAGCUUAACCGAUUAGGGAAGGCGUAGCGAAAGCGAGUCCGAACAGGGCGUUGAGUCGCUGGGUGUAGACCCGAAACCAGAUGAUCUAUCCAUGGCCAGGUUGAAGGUGCGGUAACACGUACUGGAGGACCGAACCCACUAACGUUGAAAAGUUAGGGGAUGAGCUGUGGAUAGGGGUGAAAGGCUAAACAAAUCUGGAAAUAGCUGGUUCUCUCCGAAAACUAUUUAGGUAGUGCCUCGUGUCUCACCUUCGGGGGUAGAGCACUGUCAUGGUUGGGGGGUCUAUUGCUGAUUACCCCGCCAUAGCAAACUCCGAAUACCGAAGAGUGCAAUCACGGGAGACAGACAUCGGGUGCUAACGUCCGGUGUCAAGAGGGAAACAACCCAGACCGCCAGCUAAGGUCCCCAAAUAUAGCUAAGUGGGAAACGAAGUGGGAAGGCUAAAACAGUCAGGAGGUUGGCUUAGAAGCAGCCACCCUUUAAAGAAAGCGUAAUAGCUCACUGAUCGAGUCGUCCUGCGCGGAAGAUGUAACGGGGCUAAGCUAUAUACCGAAGCUGCGGACGCGUGCGCUCCUUUAAGUGCACCAAGCUUGUCGAUGCGCAGCAUCGACAAAGCCACCAACAAUGAUCGUUGGUGGUGAAUGCUAGUGGAUUUAAAGGAGCGUACGCGUGGUAGGAGAGCGUUCUGUAAGCCUGUGAAGGUGUCUUGUAAAGGAUGCUGGAGGUAUCAGAAGUGCGAAUGCUGACAUGAGUAGCGAUAAAGGGGGUGAAAGGCCCCCUCGCCGUAAGCCCAAGGUUUCCUACGCAACGUUCAUCGGCGUAGGGUGAGUCGGCCCCUAAGGCGAGGCAGAGAUGCGUAGCUGAUGGGAAGCAGGUUAAUAUUCCUGCACCGUCGUAUGAUGCGAUGGGGGGACGGAUCGCGGAAGGUUGUCCGGGUGUUGGAAGUCCCGGUCCCUGCAUUGGAGAAGGCGCUCAGGCAAAUCCGGGCGCGGGAUUCAAGGAUGUGGGGCGAGCGGCCUAGUGCUGCGAAGCAAUUGGAAGUGGUUCCAAGAAAAGCCUCUAAGCUUCAGUCAUACGAGACCGUACCGCAAACCGACACAGGUGGGCGAGAUGAGUAUUCUAAGGCGCUUGAGAGAACUCGGGAGAAGGAACUCGGCAAAUUGGUACCGUAACUUCGGGAUAAGGUACGCCCUGGUAGCUUGACUGGCCUGCGCCAGAAGGGUGAAGGGGUUGCAAUAAAAUGGUGGCUGCGACUGUUUAAUAAAAACACAGCACUCUGCAAACACGAAAGUGGACGUAUAGGGUGUGACGCCUGCCCGGUGCCGGAAGAUUAAAUGAUGGGGUGCAAGCUCUUGAUUGAAGUCCCGGUAAACGGCGGCCGUAACUAUAACGGUCCUAAGGUAGCGAAAUUCCUUGUCGGGUAAGUUCCGACCUGCACGAAUGGCGUAACGAUGGCCACACUGUCUCCUCCCGAGACUCAGCGAAGUUGAAGUGUUUGUGAUGAUGCAAUCUCCCCGCGGCUAGACGGAAAGACCCCAUGAACCUUUACUGUAGCUUUGCAUUGGACUUUGAACCGAUCUGUGUAGGAUAGGUGGGAGGCUUUGAAGCGUGGACGCUAGUUCACGUGGAGCCGUCCUUGAAAUACCACCCUGGUUUGUUUGAGGUUCUAACCUUGGCCCGUGAAUCCGGGUCGGGGACAGUGCAUGGUAGGCAGUUUGACUGGGGCGGUCUCCUCCCAAAGUGUAACGGAGGAGUUCGAAGGUACGCUUGGUACGGUCGGACAUCGUACCUAAAGUGCAAUGGCAAAAGCGUGCUUAACUGCGAGACCGACAAGUCGAGCAGGUGCGAAAGCAGGACAUAGUGAUCCGGUGGUUCUGAAUGGAAGGGCCAUCGCUCAACGGAUAAAAGGUACUCUGGGGAUAACAGGCUGAUACCGCCCAAGAGUUCAUAUCGACGGCGGUGUUUGGCACCUCGAUGUCGGCUCAUCUCAUCCUGGGGCUGUAGCCGGUCCCAAGGGUAUGGCUGUUCGCCAUUUAAAGAGGUACGUGAGCUGGGUUUAAAACGUCGUGAGACAGUUUGGUCCCUAUCUGCCGUGGGCGUUGGAAUCUUGACGGGGGCUGCUCCUAGUACGAGAGGACCGGAGUGGACGUACCGCUGGUGUACCUGUUGUCUCGCCAGAGGCAUCGCAGGGUAGCUAUGUACGGAAGAGAUAACCGCUGAAAGCAUCUAAGCGGGAAACUCGCCUGAAGAUGAGGAUUCCCUGGAGGCUUGACCUCCUUGAAGGGUCGUUCGAGACCAGGACGUUGAUAGGCUGGGUGUGGAAGCGCAGUAAUGCGUUAAGCUAACCAGUACUAAUUGCCCGUAAGGCUUGAUCCU
rnacentral:rRNA from 1 species